UAAUACGUAGGUGGCAAGCGUUGUCCGGAUUUAUUGGGUUUAAAGGGUGCGUAGGCGGUCUUUUAAGUCAGUGCUGAAAUACUCCAGCUUAACUGGAGGGGUGGCAUUGAUACUGGAAGACUUGAGUAUAGUUGAGGUAGGCGGAAUUGACGGUGUAGCGGUGAAAUGCUUAGAUAUCGUCAAGAACACCGAUAGUGAAGACAGCUUACUAAACUAUAACUGACGCUGAGGCACGAAAGUGUGGGGAUCAAACAGGAUUAGAUACCCUGGUAGUCCACACUGUAAACGUUGAUGACUCGCUGUGUGCGAUAUACAGUACGCGGCUAAGCGAAAGCGAUAAGUCAUCCACCUGGGGAGUACGCCGGCAACGGUG
rnacentral:rRNA from 1 species